GACGAACGCUGGCGGCGUGCUUAACACAUGCAAGUCGAGCGGUAAGGCCCUUUCGGGGGUACGACGAGCGGCGAACGGGUGAGUAACACGUGGGUGACCUGCCCUCAGCUCUGGGAUAAGCCUGGGAAACUGGGUCUAAUACUGGAUAUGACUCCACGGUGCAUGUCGUGGGGUGGAAAGCCUUGUGCGGCUGAGGAUGGGCCCGCGGCCUAUCAGCUUGUUGGCGGGGNGAUGGCCUACCAAGGCGACGACGGGUAGCCGGCCUGAGAGGGCGACCGGCCACACUGGGACUGAGACACGGCCCAGACUCCUACGGGAGGCAGCAGUGGGGAAUCUUGCGCAAUGGGCGAAAGCCUGACGCAGCGACGCCGCGUGAGGGAUGACGGCCU
rnacentral:rRNA from 1 species